rnacentral:tmRNA from 1 species
GGGUCUGAUUUGGUUUCGACAGGCUAAGGUUUGGUAUGAUAAGCAUGUGGAGUGGUUACCUUAUAACCAAAAUUAAAAAUAAAUAACAAUUAUAAUAAUAACAGAUCAUUUGCAUUCGCUGCUUAGUCCCAUAAUCGGACAAUGAUCCCUCAGCCUAGGAUUUGUCUAUUUGCUUAGUUACUGGGGUCAACCCAAAUAGAAUAAGCUUAAAUAAUGAUUGUAAACGAUAAGCUGACAAUUGAAACAAUCUCGUGAAGAAUUUGCUUGCUAAUGGAUAGGUUUUUCAUUAAAUCAUAGUAAUUAGAUAAACAUGUAGAAAGUUGUAUGGAAUCUAGUUUGGACACGGGUUCAAUUCCCGCCAGAUCCACCA